GGAAGUUUUCGGAUGGAAGCGGAAGGGAUGUUUUAGCGGCGGACGGGUGAGUAACGCGUGGGUAACCUGCCUUGUACUGGGGGAUAACAGUUAGAAAUGACUGCUAAUACCGCAUAAGCCCACGGUUUCGCAUGGAACUGUGAGAAAAGAUUAAUUGAUACAAGAUGGACCCGCGUCUGAUUAGCUAGUUGGCGAGGUAACGGCCCACCAAGGCGACGAUCAGUAGCCGACCUGAGAGGGUGAUCGGCCACAUUGGGACUGAGACACGGCCCAAACUCCUACGGGAGGCAGCAGUGGGGAAUAUUGCACAAUGGGGGAAACCCUGAUGCAGCGACGCCGCGUGAGUGAAGAAGUAUUUCGGUAUGUAAAGCUCUUUAAGCAGGGAAGAUAAUGACGGUACCUGCAGAAUAAGCACCGGCUAAAUACGUGCCAGCAGCCGCGGUAAUACGUAUGGUGCAAGCGUUAUCCGGAUUUACUGGGUGUAAAGGGAGCGUAGACGGUGUAUCAAGUCUGAAGUGAAACCCCACGGCUCAACCGUGGGCUUGCUUUGGAAACUGGUAGACUAGAGUACUGGAGAGGUAAGCGGAAUUCCUGGUGUAGUAGUGAAAUGCGUAGAUAUCAGGAAGAACAUCAGUGGCGAAGGCGGCUUACUGGACAGCAACUGA
rnacentral:rRNA from 1 species